rnacentral:lncRNA from 1 species
GUUACACGUAGUUGUAAUUACAUUAAAAUUAGAAAUGCAUGCAAAUUCAAAUCUAUCAUUGGGUUUAAUUCAUUGGAAUUCAACUAUUGCAGUUGGAGCUGCACGAGGCUCAAAUGUAGCAGUUGGAACUGCAUGAGGAGACUCAAAUGCAGCAGUUAGAACUACGCCCAAAUUGAUUGUAGUUCCAACUGUAGUAGUUAAAGUGUGACGCCCCACCUUUUACAAAGAUCACAAAUCCUAGAACUAAUAUGAUUCUAGCACACUUUACCCUCUUAACCUCUUGUACCUAAUUACUGUCCAAAAUAUCAUAGCUGGAUUAAUAUGUAUAGCCCUAUUAUAUCUCAUAUGUAUGACUAUUUCAAAUCCUGAAGGUGUCGCGUUCCUCCCCCUUUAAGCCUUGAUGUACUUGUCAGGUUCAAGCACCGGGCGAUGUAAGAUUAUUCUAGUUAGCCUUGUCAUUCAAAUUUUGGCUCAAUAGAGACUUAACUUAUACAUUUGUUGGUGAUUCAUGACUUUGAUACUACCUAUGACACCCUGCUUUCUAGAGAGGCUACCCAUCACAAAACUACUCUAGCCCUUGCACCCUUAACCUCUUGAGCCUAACCACCGCUGAAAGUUGUUAUAUCCGGGAUAAGAGGUCUAGCACUAUUAUAUCUCAUAACUAUUUUCAAAUUCUAAGAGUGUUACAUGAGCUUACCUCCCUAAUAAUCUUCCAAAUAGAAAAUAUAUUAAUUUAUCAACUGCACAUAACCAAACAAAGUAUCUAUUUUUGCCGCACUUUCGAUUACAUCCAACCAAAUAAUCUUAUAUAAUUAUAGCGAACAAGGCUCCUAUACUAUCUCUAGUAUUGAAACUCCAGUAAUAUAGUCUCGUUUUUUAUUUUAGUAUGUCUAAAUUAAUGAUCUACAUCGUUAAAUAUGAUCUAGGGUAUAUGAAGUUCUCAGAAAUAAAAUUUUAAUUUUUUUUUUUAUAUCGUUUACUUAGUAAGCAAAUCAUUUUAAAAUAAACGGUAGAAAUUGAACAAUCUUUAAAAUUUUGAGGAUAGGACUUAUAAAUUCAAGAUCAAGAAUGCUGAUCUCGAUCUAGAUAGUUUAAAAUAUUUUCUAUCAAAAUUUGAAUAAAUUUAUAUUUUUCUACACCGUUAAACUACAAACUUGCUAUAGUAGCCAUUUAAAAUUGAUAAUUUUGAAAUAGUUUGAUCAUAAAGUUUAUUUUUAAAAACUCCAAAUACUUUAGAUCAAUUUUAACGGUGUGAAUCAUUAAACCCUAAGAUCGAAAAUGAGACUAUAGUAUGGGUGCCCUAUACUAUAGAUAUUAUAGGAGGCUAUAUCUAAUUAUAACUAUUAUAUUUUCAUCUGCGUACGUCUCAAACUAUAGUUUUAUAAAAGUGAAAAAAGUGAAAAAAAAAAGUCACUUUUAUAAAACUGAUUUUUAUAAAAGUGACUUUUCAGUUCGAUUGUUUAAUUGACUAUAAAAUAAAAUAUAAAAACUAUAGUUUAUAAAAACUAUAGUUUAUAAAAUAUAAAAACUAUAGUUUAUAUUUAUAUUUAUAUUAAAAUUUUAUUUUGAAAUUAAAAUUUAAACUUAAACUGAGUUGAAUUUAUAAUUAAAAUUUAAGGCAUAAAAAUAAUAAAGAUAAAAAAAUAAAUUUAAAUAAAAUAAAGUCACAAAUUUAAAUAAAAAGUCAAAAUGUUAUUAUAUUCAAAUUUAAAUAAAAAUAAAUAUUUAAAUAUUUAAAUUUAAAAUAAAGUUGCAAAUUUGAAUUUAGAAAUUUUUUAUCGAAUUUGAAUUAAAAUAAAUUAACUUCAGAAUGUGAUUAUGAUUUUAAUUCAAAUUUAAAGUGAAAUUCAACUUUAAAAGUAAAAUCAAUUAUUAAAGUUAAGACCAAAUAUAACCUCUUAAUUAAGUUUCUCCACUUUCAGUGACUUUCGAAAAUUUUGAACCGAAGUAAAAAAAGUGAAAUUUAGUUAUAAUAAUUUACUUUACCAGCCCACUUUUGUAAAUUAAAUUUUAUAUUCACUUUCACAAAUCAAACAACCCAUAAGAAGUCAACUUUAGAAUUAAUUUUAUACAGGUCCCUGCUAACAUAGUGAAUGACAAAUAUAUACCUACAAAGUUCAACUUUUGUAUUCAUAUGUUGUCCCUACAAAAGUUCUAAUAUUUUCAAAUAUGUCACUCUGGUUUGUUACCGUUAGAGAACCAUUUAUAUUUUCAAUUUUGCUAUUACAAAUUAAUAUGUCCCCUCAAAAACCGUAAUAGUAUAAUAUAAGAGGGGUAAAAAUAUAAAAAACAAACAAGAGUUAAGUAUUUAACUUAUGGUUAACUAAAUUUUUUUAACGGAUUCUAACCGCAUAAACAUAUUUGAAAAAAUUAAAACUUUUAUAGAGACAACAUAUGAAAGUUAAACUUUGUAGGGAUAUAUUUUCAUUCACUAUGUUUGUAAAGACCUGUAUAGAAUUAAUUAUUUUAAAAAUAUUACUUUCGAUACUUUACUUUUGGCCAGUAUAAAAUUAAUUCUUUUAAAAAUAUCAUUUUCAAUACUUUACUUUCGGCCAACGAAUUAAAUAUGCCCUAUAAUUUAAAUGCAUGCAUGCAUUUU